GAUGAACGCUGGCGGCGUGCCUAAUACAUGCAAGUCGAGCGAACGGACGAGAAGCUUGCUUUUCUGACGUUAGCGGCGGACGGGUGAGUAACACGUGGAUAACCUACCUAUAAGACUGGGAUAACUUCGGGAAACCGGAGCUAAUACCGGAUAAUAUUUUGAACCGCAUGGUUCAAAAGUGAAAGACGGUUUUGCUGUCACUUAUAGAUGGAUCCGCGCUGCAUUAGCUAGUUGGUAAGGUAACGGCUUACCAAGGCAACGAUGCAUAGCCGACCUGAGAGGGUGAUCGGCCACACUGGAACUGAGACACGGUCCAGACUCCUACGGGAGGCAGCAGUAGGGAAUCUUCCGCAAUGGGCGAAAGCCUGACGGAGCAACGCCGCGUGAGUGAUGAAGGUCUUCGGAUCGUAAAACUCUGUUAUUAGGGAAGAACAUAUGUGUAAGUAACUAUGCACAUCUUGACGGUACCUAAUCAGAAAGCCACGGCUAACUACGUG
rnacentral:rRNA from 1 species